AUACGGAGGGUGCAAGCGUUACUCGGAAUCACUGGGCGUAAAGCGCGCGCAGGCGGCUAUUUAAGUUGGAUGUGAAAGCCUACGACUCAACCGUAGAACUGCAUCCAAAACUAUUUAGCUAGAGUGUGGGAGAGGAAGAUGGAAUUAGUUGUGUAGGGGUAAAAUCCGUAGAGAUAACUAGGAAUACCAAAAGCGAAGGCAAUCUUCUGGAACACUACUGACGCUGAGGCGCGAAAGCGUGGGGAGCAAACAGGAUUAGAAACCCUAGUAGUCC
rnacentral:rRNA from 1 species